ensembl:snRNA U6 U6 spliceosomal RNA
GUGCUUGCUUCGGCAGCACAUAUACUAAAAUUGGAAUGAUACAGAGAAGAUUAGGAUGGCCCCUGCACAAGGAUGACAUGCAAAUUCGUGAAGUGUUCCAUGUUAAA